rnacentral:rRNA from 1 species
AGUUUUGAGCUAAAUAUAUUAUAAUAUUAGUUUAUUUAUGAAGGUGUUGUAAAACCUUAUUAAAAAUUAUAUUUAGGGGUGAUAGGCCUUUCAAAAACUAAGAUAUCUUGAAUCUAAUUAAAAGUAUGUAGUACAUUCAACACAACUAUUAAGUGAUUAGGCUUUAUAGAACUAUUAACUUAUAAGGAUUUUUAUUUAUUAUAAUUUAAUAAUUAAGUAUAUAAAUAGAAUAAUAUAUAUAUAUUAUAGUUUAUAAGGAGUAAUUAGAUAAAUUAAAGUUCAUAAAUUUUGUAAUAAUGUUAAUAUUAGUAUUAAGUUUAUAUUUAUAUGAUGAACUCGGCAAAAAUGUUUCUCAACUGUUUAUCAAAAACAUAACUAUGUGUAUAAAUACAUAGCGGUUUCUGCUCAA